AGGAUGAACGCUGGCGGCGUGCCUAAUACAUGCAAGUCGAACGAAUCUCUUUUAGAGAUGAGUGGCGAACGGGUGAGUAAUACAUAGGUAACCUGCCCCUGUGCGGGGGAUAACAGGAGGAAACUCCUGCUAAUACCGCAUAGCCAUGAGCACCGCAUGGAGCUCAUGCCAAAUAUCCUUUCGGGGAUAGCGCAGGGAUGGACCUAUGGCGCAUUAGCUUGUUGGCGGGGCAACGGCCCACCAAGGCAACGAUGCGUAGCCGGCCUGAGAGGGCGGACGGCCACAUUGGGACUGAGACACGGCCCAGACUCCUACGGGAGGCAGCAGUAGGGAAUUUUCGGCAAUGGGGGAAACCCUGACCGAGCAACGCCGCGUGAGCGAAGAAGGCCUUCGGGUCGUAAAGCUCUGUUGUAAAGGAAGAACGGCGCAUACAGGAAAUGGUAUGCGAGUGACGGUACUUUACCAGAAAGCCACGGCUAACUACGUGCCAGCAGCCGCGGUAAUACGUAGGUGGCGAGCGUUAUCCGGAAUCAUUGGGCGUAAAGAGGGAGCAGGCGGCCGCAAGGGUCUGUGGUGAAAGACCGAAGCUAAACUUCGGUAAGCCAUGGAAACCGGGCGGCUAGAGUGCGGAAGAGGAUCGUGGAAUUCCAUGUGUAGCGGUGAAAUGCGUAGAUAUAUGGAGGAACACCAGUGGCGAAGGCGACGGUCUGGGCCGCAACUGACGCUCAUUCCCGAAAGCGUGGGGAGCAAAUAGGAUUAGAUACCCUAGUAGUCCACGCCGUAAACGAUGGUCACUAAGUGUCGGGGGUCAAACCCCGGUGCUGCAGUCAACGCAAUAAGUGACCCGCCU
rnacentral:rRNA from 1 species